rnacentral:rRNA from 1 species
UACGGAGGGUGCAAGCGUUAUCCGGAUUCACUGGGUUUAAAGGGUGCGUAGGCGGGCAGGUAAGUCAGUGGUGAAAUCUCCGAACUUAACUCGGAAACUGCCAUUGAUACUAUUUGUCUUGAAUAUUGUGGAGGUAAGCGGAAUAUGUCAUGUAGCGGUGAAAUGCUUAGAUAUGACAUAGAACACCAAUUGCGAAGGCAGCUUACUACACAAUGAUUGACGCUGAGGCACGAAAGCGUGGGGAUCAAACAGG